ACAGAUGCUCGGUGCUCUCACGCACGCAAGGCUGCCCUCAAACCCUCAGUAGAGAGAAGAUAAACACUGUCGGAGACACCUGAUCCCAAUUCUUCCUCGUGUGUGUUCCAACUUGUACUGUCCCCUCAAUGAUGCUAGAAAUAGCUGUCCACCUGCAUAGAGGUGAAACUGGUCCCUAGGAGUCCCGAGCUUCGGCAGCCCUUGAUUGAGAGUCCAUCGAGCCUUUAAUGCUGAGAACCUGGCGGAGGAUUCUCUCUUUGCCUCUGGUUGGUGACUAAAUGGCCGAUUUGAUUGAUGUAUGGAUAAGGAACUUUUCCAGAUUUCUCCCUUUCUAAAUGGGUUUCCUUGAAAAGAAAAGUGACUCUGUUCCCUGGUGAAAACAAGAACAUUCUAUUUUAAAAGUUCUGUGUGCUUUCAAAGAUGACAAGACUCGGGAGAUAUGAACUGACUUUCUUUGUCUAGACUGUACUAGCCUAAAACAGCCAAAUGGAUACAUUUCACACAACAACUUCACAUGACAGUAAAUGCAGCAAAGUGACUCCACAUAGUUCCCGAAGCUCCCCCUUCUUGGUCCUGGGAAGCUGUUUGCAGGAUGUUCUUCGCUCCUUUGAACACGCUGAAAAUACAGAUUCGUGAUCACCUGGUACUUGUGAAUCCACCACAUCUUCCUAGGCGCUGUGGCGCGCGCUGAUGCAUCUGAGGCAGGUUACGCUUUGCCAAGGCCUCCUCCUUAGAGACCGCCCACUCCCACUUAGGAAGAGAGAUAGAUGCCUGGCAUUAGACAGGGAGCAAACGGAGUUUAACUUGUUUUUCAUGCACGGGGGCUCAAUGGGGAAACUCCAUUUGGAAUUGUCCACAGCCCCUAGAAAUGUCUAGAAAUCCCAUCCUCUUGGAGAAGGGGAGGACAGGACACAGAAAUCUUGUUUUAAUAGGCAGACACUAAGGGACCCUUGUCACUCAGCCUCCCUUAGGGAGGACUUAGGAAAUAAGGCACUCUGACUGCUAAAUGGUAGGAGGUGUGUGGGUCUGAGCUCAAGAGCAUGAACCCCUUCCUGCGCUACGGAAACCCUGCUGGCAUUUGGACACAUCACCCUGAUUAACAUCCAACACCAUUGGUCUUAGUCAUUGCUUU
rnacentral:lncRNA from 1 species